ensembl:snoRNA Gm25608 small nucleolar RNA SNORA17
CCUGCCUUUAGAGGUUUUACAGGUGUGCCUGCUGUGUCACAUGCGUGUCCAUAGGUGGCAGGAAGGUGAAAGGCUAUGUCUAUGCUUAGUGUUCUGACCUGUGAACAUUUGAUUGAUGAGUAGUCAAACACU